rnacentral:rRNA from 1 species
AUAACGCUGGCGGAAUGCCCUACACAUUCAAGUCGAACGGCAGCACGGGGGCAACCCUGUGUGGCGAGUGUGCGAACGGGUAUAUACAUCGUGAACGUGCCCAGUCGUGGGGGAUACGUAGCGAAAGUUACGCUACAUACCUGCAUACGAUCUAAGGAUGACAGCGGGGGACCGUAAGGCCUCGCGCGAUUGGAGCGUGCCGAUGUCAGAUUAUGUAGUUGGUGAGGUAAAGGCCCACCAAGCCUGCGAUCUGUAGCUGGUCUGAGAGGACGACCAGCCACACUGGGACUGAGACACGGACCAGACUCCUACGGGAGUGCAGCAGUGGGGAAUUUUGGACAAUGGGCGCAAGCCUGAUCCAGCCAUUCCGCGUGCAGGACGAAGUGCCUUCGGGUUGUAAACUGCUUUUGUACGGAACGAAAAGCCCAUGGCUAAUCCUCGGGUCAAGACGAACCGAAAGAAUAAGCACCGGAUAACUACAGUCCCAGCAAACGCGGUACUACGUA